CCUUUCAACCCAUUUUUAUUAAAGAGCAAUUCUAUAUCUUUAUAGAAGAUUUAAUGUUAAAACUAGUAAUAAGAAGCAGACCCUUCUCUUUAAUGUAAACUUAUAUCAGCAAGGACACCNCCACUGAUCUUUAACGUCCCUAAAAUUAUAGUAAAAACUUAACAAGAAAACAUUACUCUUAUUUACGUUAACCUUACACAAGAACAUUUUAAGAAAGAUUAAAAGGAAAAGAAGGAACUCGGCAAAUAUUAGCCCCGCCUGUUUACCAAAAACAUCGCCUCUUGAUAAUUUAUAAGAGGUCCAGCCUGCCCAGUGACUCUGUUCAACGGCCGCGGUAUCCUAACCGUGCGAAGGUAGCGUAAUCACUUGUUCUUUAAAUGAGGACUAGUAUGAAUGGCCCCACGAAGGCUACACUGUCUCCUUUUCCUAAUCAAUGAAACUAAUCUUCCCGUGAAGAAGCGGGAAUAAUAAUAUAAGACGAGAAGACCCUAUGGAGCUUUAAACUAUAGAAACAUUUGCUUUAUGCCUUUAACCCUCCCGAGAUCUNCCCGAAUAUUUAAGCAAUUUUUAUUUCUAGUUUUAGGUUGGGGUGACCACGGAGUAAAAUACAACCUCCUCGAUGAAAGAGAUUUUCUCUUAGCUAAAAGCUACCUCUUUAAGCACCAACAAAUUGACUCUCAUUGACCCAAUUAAUUGAUCAACGAACCAAGUUACCCUAGGGAUAACAGCGCAAUCUACCUCGAGAGCUCAUAUCGACAGGUGGGUUUACGACCUCGAUGUUGGAUCAGGGUAUCCUAGUGGUGCAGCCGCUACUGAUGGUUCGUUUG
rnacentral:rRNA from 1 species